UCUAGUGGAUUAUUAUUUUUAAAUAUAGUAAUAAUUUUUAUAAUAUGGAGAACAUUGAUAGAUAUGACCAGUGAAGUGCUGGUAAUCUGGCUCUCUAAAAAUAAAAAGCACUGAAUUGAGCACUCGUCAAUUGCUGUGGUGUAAAUAGUCCUACCAUGGCCAAUUUCAAGCCGCCAACCUGACAUCACCCAAGAAGGAAUUGUGAAGAUGUGGAUGAUAGCAGAGAACAGCGGCAUUUUCACAUGUAGGGGUAGUGAAGCAAUAUGACUGGCUGCUGGAAUACAGGAGGCAGAAUCCUCCCACAUCCUCCCUUGAAAACAUCUGCAAGUGUCGGAGAUCCCCAAGUUUUCUAGGCUUGAAUUAUGGACUAUAAUCUCGUCCUGCUUUCGUCGCUCCAUCGCCUCACAAAUUCUCUGAGCUGGAUUAGGCCGUUUCCUUGCAGUUGGAUUAUGUAUCCAUGAAGUGAAAAAAUCUCUCUCUCUGACGGGCAUGUUAAUAAGCAGUGAGACUCAGAAACACCAACAGAACACGGUGGACGAAAGAGAGACAGAAGGAUAAGAGAACAGAGAAAUCGGAUAACAAGCUCACAAAACAAAAACAAAAAAAAAACCCAAACCAAUAGCUGACUUUUUUUAAACGAAAUGUCGGCACAAUAAUAGAAUCACAAAAUCAUAAAAGAGAAAGUUGCGCUUCUAAGUUUACAGCUUCAGUCGAGUUUUCACAUCGUCUCAAGUGAGUCGGAAAGAAAACCUAUACCACACCUGUGUAUACAGAUGGAGACCCAAACAUCAGUCCUGCUCUAUGAAGGUGUUCAGAGGUCAGUGAUGGUGUGCACCUCAAGGACCUAUGGAAGGGGAGGUCCAUUUCUGAAGGCUUUGUGAAAGUUGCAGUCUGCCCGUCCUGCCGUCUUUUACUCUAUUUCAGGCACGAUGGGGCCUCUCGGAAAUACAAAAGCUAACAAGUGGAGGGACAGUAUUAAAAUGUGCCCAAGUCUUCUGGUUGCAUAUCAGUGUCGCCAGGAUCAGACUAGAGAAAUCUGAAAUCUCUGUACACCCCCCCCCCGAAAAAAACCUAAAAAAAUCAAAAUG
rnacentral:lncRNA from 1 species